AAUCAACGCUGGCGGCGUGCCUAACACAUGCAAGUCGAACGCGAAAGCCCCGCAAGGGGCAAGUAGAGUGGCAAACGGGUGAGUAACACGUGGGUGACCUGCCUUCGAGCGGGGGAUAACGUCCCGAAAGGGACGCUAAUACCGCAUAACAUCCUGCCUUUGAAGAGGUGGAGAUCAAAGCUGGGGAUCGCAAGACCCGGCACUUGAAGAGGGGCCCGCGUCUGAUUAGCUAGNGGUGGGGUAAUGGCCUACCAAGGCAACGAUCAGUAUCCGGCCUGAGAGGGCGGACGGACACACUGGGACUGAGACACGGCCCAGACUCCUACGGGAGGCGGCAGUGGGGAAUUGUUCGCAAUGGGCGCAAGCCUGACGACGCAACGCCGCGUGGAGGAUGAAGAUUUUCGGAUCGUAAACUCCUGUCGAAUGGGACGAACAGAUUACGGGUUAACAGCCUGUAGUCCUGAC
rnacentral:rRNA from 1 species